GCCGUUAGUGGUUGGAGCGGCGAUUCGUAAUCAGUAGGUCCGCAGUUCGAUUCUGCGCAACGGCA
rnacentral:tRNA from 1 species